rnacentral:tRNA from 2 species
CCGGAUAGCUCAGUCGGUAGAGCAGGGGAUUGAAAAUCCCCGUGUCCUUGGUUCGAUUCCGAGUCCGG